rnacentral:misc_RNA from 1 species
UUAACUAUUGUAUAACACUCAGACAAUACAUUGAUUGAGUUUGAUGGUCCUCUGACAAGCACACGCCGGCCAAGGCCGACGGUGGGUUUUUCCACAGGCUUGCCAAAGCAACAGAGAAGGUAUACAGAGGGUUGAGGGUUCAGGCCAAAGACCUGACCGCCAGUAAUGAUCCUUCCGCAGGUUCACCUACGGAAA